rnacentral:rRNA from 1 species
CAGCCGCCGCGGGAAUACAGAGGAUGCAAGCGUUAUCCGGAAUUAUUGGGCGUAAAGCGCGCGCAGGUGGUUUAAUAAGUCUGAUGUGAAAGCCCACGGCUCAACCGAGGAGGGUCAUUGGAAACUGUUAAACUUGAGUGCAGGAGAGAAAAGUGGAAUUCCUAGUGUAGCGGUGAAAUGCGUAGAGAUUAGGAGGAACACCAGUGGCGAAGGCGGCUUUUUGGCCUGUAACUGACACUGAGGCGCGAAAGCGUGGGGAGCAAACAGGAUUAGAGACCCCAGUAGUCCCUGUCUCUUAUAC